rnacentral:rRNA from 1 species
UACAGAGGUCCCAAGCGUUGUUCGGAUUCACUGGGCGUAAAGGGUGCGUAGGCGGUCGGGUAAGUCUGAUGUGAAAUCUCACAGCUUAACUGUGAAACUGCAUUGGAUACUAUCCGGCUCGAGGAAUGGAGGGGAGACUGGAAUACUUGGUGUAGCAGUGAAAUGCGUAGAUAUCAAGUGGAACACCAGUGGCGAAGGCGGCUAUCUGGACUGACACUGACGCUGAGGCGCGAGAGCGUGGGGAGCAAACAGG